rnacentral:rRNA from 1 species
CAGCCGCCGCGGUAAUACGUAGGUGGCAAGCGUUGUCCGGAAUUAUUGGGCGUAAAGGGCUCGCAGGCGGUUUCUUAAGUCUGAUGUGAAAGCCCCCGGCUCAACCGGGGAGGGUCAUUGGAAACUGGGAAACCUGAGUGCAGAAGAGGAGAGUGGAAUUCCACGUGUAGCGGUGAAAUGCGUAGAGAUGUGGAGGAACACCAGUGGCGAAGGCGACUCUCUGGUCUGUAACUGACGCUGAGGAGCGAAAGCGUGGGGAGCGAACAGGAUUAGAUACCCCGGUAGUCCCUGUCUCUUAUAC